rnacentral:rRNA from 1 species
GAUGAACGCUGGCGGCGUGCCUAACACAUGCAAGUCGAGCGAAGCGGGAACGGGUGAGUAACACGUGGGUAACCUCCUAUAUGACUGGGAUAAGUUUGGGAAACCGGAGCUAAACCGGAUACUUAUAGAUGCGUCCCCUCUGCAUUAGGUAGUUGGUAAGGUAACGGCUUACCAAGGCAACGAUGCAUAGCCGGCCUGAGAGGGGGGUCAGGCACACGGGAAAGGAGACACGGUCCAGACUCAUGAGGGAGGAAGCAGUAGGGGAUCUUCCGGAAGGGGCGCAAGCGUGACGGAGCAGAGGCGCGUGAGUGAUGAAGGUCAUGGGAGCGUAAAACUUGUUUAUUAGGUAAGCGGUACCUAAUCAGAAAGCGACGGCUAACUACGUGCCAGCAGCCGCGGUAAUAC